AGUUUUAGAAGCUGUUUACAGUCCGACUACGCAUGCGCAAGUUUUCUGCGUAGGAGCGAGCAGAUUCUACUUCAGUAUAUAAUUGUAUUUCAUGUAAUGUUCGUCGAUUAUUAAAACCGUGUGAAAAUUCUAGGACCACUGCGAUUGAAGGCUUAGAGAAAUAAACGUUCGGAACCUUAUUAUCAUCCUUUUGUUAUGGAGAGCGUUGAGAGAAGGAAGCCUUACAAUCCUAUCCAGAGAAAUACCACUCGGUA
rnacentral:lncRNA from 1 species